rnacentral:ncRNA from 10 species
AUCGUUCAACCUACUGUUGUAGGUCGGAAGUAAGCUAAAAGCUGAAGGAACGCGCA